CUACGGGGGGCACCAGUGAGGAAUUUUGCGCAAUGGGGGAAACCCUGACGCAGCAACGCCGCGUGAGCGAAGAAGGCCUUCGGGUCGUAAAGCUCUGUCAAGUGGGAAAAAAAUUCUUUGAUCAAUAGUCAAAGGAUUUGAUGGUACCACUGGAGGAAGCACCGGCUAACUCCGUGCCAGCAGCCGCGGUAAUACGGAGGGUGCAAGCGUUGUUCGGAAUUACUGGGCGUAAAGAGCGUGUAGGCGGUUUGGCAAGUCAGAUGUGAAAGCCCUGGGCUCAACCUGGGAAGUGCAUUUGAAACUGCGUGACUAGAGUAUGGGAGAGGAGAUUGGAAUUCCUGGUGUAGAGGUGAAAUUCGUAGAUAUCAGGAGGAACACCCGUGGCGAAGGCGAUUCUCUGGACCAAUACUGACGCUGAGACGCGAAAGCGUGGGGAGCAAACAGGAUUAGAUACCCGCGUAGUC
rnacentral:rRNA from 1 species